GAAAUGCGAUAAGUAGUGUGAAUUUCAGAAUUCAGUGAAUCAUCGAAUCUUUGAACGCACAUUGCGCCCUUUGGUAUUCCAAAGGGCAUGCCUGUUCGAGCGUCAUUUGUACCCUCAAGCUUUGCUUGGUGUUGGGCGUCUUGUCUCUAGCUUUGCUGGAGACUCGCCUUAAAGUAAUUGGCAGCCGGCCUACUGGUUUCGGAGCGCAGCACAAGUCGCACUCUCUAUCAGCAAAGGUCUAGCAUCCAUUAAGCCUUUUUUCAACUUUUGACCUCGGAUCAGGUAGGGAUACCCGCUGAACUUAAGC
rnacentral:misc_RNA from 1 species